CCCAUUACAAAGCCCGACACACCUUCGCUUCUAAAAAUAUCUUUUGGUCUUCCUAUAAAUUUGUAGCUAAGGAGAGAAAAUUCAUCUGUCUCUCUACGCUUGAUUGAGCUCAGUCUAACAAAAGAGACCUGGUGACAAUGAAGGUGGCUGUGCUGCUCCUUGCCUUGUGUGUGGCCGCCAUGGCUCAGCAUCGCCCCCCAGAGGACACUACACCCGCUCUUUCCAUAACUGUUGACGAGCUGAUCUGGCUGGAGGUGGGGAACAUUGUCAGGGCCGACUCUCGCAUCAGUGUCAGCGAAUGCAAGACAAGCUGUGAUGCUCACUUUCUCUCUCAGCGAUGUUCUGGAUGAGUCCAUUACAGACCGCCUGUGUCAACAGGAGUGUGAGCUGGCUGUGUCUGGUCAUGAAGACCACUUCAGACCUCCAGGAGAACGUGGUGACAGGCCAGGCAGAAAAUGAACGAUGUAUUUUGUACAACUGAUAAAGAAUUGUGUAUAUUACAAGUGUGUACUGUACAUAAGAAUUAA